rnacentral:rRNA from 1 species
AGUGAACGCUGGCGGUAGGCCUAACACAUGCAAGUCGAACGGCAGCACAGUAAGAGCCUGCUCUUACGGGUGGCGAGUGGCGGACAGGUGAGGAAUACAUCGGAAUCUACUUUUUCGUGGGGGAUAACGUAGGGAAACUUACGCUAAUACCGCAUACGACCUACGGGUGAAAGCAGGGGAUCUUCGGACCUUGCGCGAUUGAAUGAGCCGAUGUCGGAUUAGCUAGUUGGCGGGGUAAAGGCCCACCAAGGCGACGAUCCGUAGCUGGUCUGAGAGGAUGAUCAGCCACACUGGAACUGAGACACGGUCCAGACUCCUACGGGAGGCAGCAGUGGGGAAUAUUGGACAAUGGGCGCAAGCCUGAUCCAGCCAUACCGCGUGGGUGAAGAAGGCCUUCGGGUUGUAAAGCCCUUUUGUUGGGAAAGAAAAGCAGCAGGUUAAUACCCCGCUGUUCUGACGGUACCCAAAGAAUAAGCACCGGCUAACUUCGUG